CCUACUUCCCUGCCUUGAUAAGUCACUACAAAUUAGAAAUUAAUGCAGAGAACUCCCAGUUGGACAACCAGUUCCAGACUCCACAGACACCAGGACACACACUCUAUUCAAGUAUCUGUUUGCGAUGGUUCAGAAGUUUUCAAGCUUGCUUUGGGUACAAAUUGUAUUUCCAACACUUCUAGCCCUAUAUAUUCCUGUCAAUGAUAUUAUACUUAUAAAUACAAACAUGUCCUUAUUAUGGAUGAAGAAAUAGAUUAAUUAACAUUGUAUAGAUUAUAUAUUAGCUAUGAUAUUAUACAUCAUCAUAAAAAUGAA
rnacentral:sRNA from 1 species